UAGGCGGCGUGCCUAACACAUGCAAGUCGAGCGGAGAUGAUGUGAGGAAGUUUUCGGAUGGAAUCACAGUUAUUUAGCGGCGGACGGGUGAGUAACGCGUGAGCGACCAACCUUGCACAGGGGGAUAACGGACCGAAAGGUUCACUAUACCGCAUGAGACCACGGUGUUGCAUGACACAGGGGUCAAAGGAGCAAUCCGGUGCAAGACGGGCUCGCGUCCGAUUAGGUAGUUGGUGGGGUAAUGGCCCACCAAGCCUAUGAUCGGUAGCCGACCUGAGAGGGUGAUCGGCCACAUUGGAACUGAGGAUACGGUCCAAACUCCUACGGGAGGCAGCAGUGGGGAAUAUUGGGCAAAUGGGGGAAACCCUGACCCAGCAACGCCGCGUGAAGGAAGAAGGUUUUCGGAUUGUAAACUUCUGUCCUUGGUGAAGAGAAGAAGACGGUAGCCAAGGAGGAAGCCCCGGCUAACUACGUGCCAGCAGCCGC
rnacentral:rRNA from 1 species